rnacentral:rRNA from 1 species
UACGUAGGGUGCGAGCGUUAAUCGGAAUUACUGGGCGUAAAGUGUGCGCAGGCGGCCGCGCAAGUCGAGUGUGAAAGCCCCGAGCUUAACUUGGGAAUUGCGCUCGAAACUACGUGGCUGGAGUGUGGCAGAGGAAGGUGGAAUUCCAGGUGUAGCGGUGAAAUGCGUGGAGAUCUGGAGGAACACCGAUGGCGAAGGCAGCCUUCUGGGCCAACACUGACGCUCAUGCACGAAAGCGUGGGGAGCAAACAGG